UACGAAGGGAGCUAGCGUUGUUCGGAAUUACUGGGCGUAAAGGGCGCGUAGGCGGACAUCUAAGUCAGGGGUGAAAUCCCAGGGCUCAACCCUGGAAUUGCCUUUGAUACUGGACGUCUCGAGUUCGGGAGAGGUGAGUGGAAUUCCGAGUGUAGAGGUGAAAUUCGUAGAUAUUCGGAGGAACACCAGAAGCGAAGGCGGCUCACUGGUCCGGUACUGACGCUGAGGUGCGAAAGCGUGGGGAGCAAACAGG
rnacentral:rRNA from 1 species